rnacentral:lncRNA from 1 species
AGCAUGUGUCCAUGGAUAAAACAACAGUAGAAUUACAAAACCAAAUUGGCAUCAUUCUGAAUUCUGAUUCAAACAAAACGGUAGGAUCGCAAAAACCAAAUUGGGAUCAUAGUAUUAGCAUCGAUCAGGCAGGAUUACAGAAACGAAACCCCCUUGGCGACCCACACAUCACCAAGGAAGGAACGAAGGAAGGAACAACAGACGAUCACAUAAUUAGGCAACCGCAAGCAAUAAAUAAAUAAAUAAAACAACGAUUAAUUAAUUAUUAAUCGGGUGAACCAAACACGAUGCUCCAUCCCAGGUUUCCCGCACUCCGCGCGGUACGUCGCUCAGUGGAGGAAGGAGGCGAGGAAGGAGACGACGAGCGCCGCGGCGGCGGGCACUGCGGCGGCGGCGGCGGCGCUGGCGGAAGGGCCAGCCGCACCGCCGGCCGCGCCGGCGGCCGCGCCGGCGGGCGCCUCGGAGGGCGACUCGGAGGCGACCUCGGCCAGCACGGCGGUGGCGGAGGCGGCGGCGACGAGCGCGGCGCAGAGGACCUUCUUCAUCUCCAUGGCUGCUGGUGCUGGCCGGGUCGCUUGCUGCUGGAUUGGUCCAAGGAAGCCGGCCUCGCGCUCGAGGAGAUGUUAUUAGUUAUUCGGUGGAAUUGGGAGACUGCUUUUCGACGGUGAUCUCUCUCUCAAUUGCUUCUCCUGCUUCAGGACGGGGCGCCGCUUUAUAGGAGCUGCGAGGCGACGGCGCGAGCGGCCGCGAGCGAAGCAAGGGCGGCGGUUCGUUCGCUGCCGGGCUGGCCGUGGGUUUGCUGCAUGCUUGCCGGAAAUAGGGUGGAUUAGCUGGUUAGUUUGCAAAAAAAAAACAAAAAAAAAACUGGAUGGUUGGAGUCGGUUUAGCGGUGGUUCUCCAC